rnacentral:rRNA from 1 species
GACGGAAGGUGCAAGCGUUGCUCGGAAUCACUGGGCGUAAAGGGUGCGUAGGCGGCUUCGUGAGUCGGGUGUGAAAGCCCCGGGCUCAGCCUGGGAAGGGCAGUCGAUACUGCGGAGCUAGAGUGCCGGAGGGGAGAGUGGAAUUCCUGGUGUAGCGGUGAAAUGCGUAGAUAUCAGGAGGAAUACCGGUGGCGAAAGCGACUCUCUGGACGGCAACUGACGCUGAGGCACGAAAGCGUGGGGAGCAAACAGG